rnacentral:rRNA from 1 species
GACGAACGCUGGCGGCGUGCUUAACACAUGCAAGUCAAGGGGAAAAUUUUCUUCGGAGGAUGAGUACACUGGCGAACGGGUGAGUAAUAUAUAAGUAACCUACCCAUGGGUUUGGGAUAACCUCGAGAAAUCCGGGCUAAUACCGGACAAUGCAGCGGCAUCACAUGAUGAUGUUGUUAAAGCCUUCGGGCGCCUAUGGACGGGCUUGUAUCUGAUUAGCUAGUUGGCGGGGUAACUGCCCACCAAGGCUACGAUCAGUAGCUGGUCUGAGAGGAUGAUCAGCCACACUGGAACUGAGACACGGUCCAGACUCCUACGGGAGGCAGCAGUGAGGAAUAUUGGGCAAUGGGCGAAAGCCUGACCCAGCAACGCCGCGUGGAGGAUGAAAGUCGUAAGAUUGUAAACUCCUUUUAUUGGGGACGAAAAAAUAGGUAACCCCUAUAUUGACUGUACCC